AGUUUGAUUCUGGCUCAGGAUGAACGCUGGCGGCGUGCUUAACACAUGCAAGUCGAACGAAGCAUUACCAAGGAUCCUCGGGAUGACUAAUAAAUGACUGAGUGGCGGACGGGUGAGUAACGCGUGGGUAACCUACCUUACACAGGGGGAUAACAGUUAGAAAUGACUGCUAAUACCGCAUAAGCGCACAGUACUGCAUGGUACAGUGUGAAAAACUCCGGUGGUGUAAGAUGGACCCGCGUCUGAUUAGCUAGUUGGCAGGGUAACGGCCUACCAAAGCGACGAUCAGUAGCCGACCUGAGAGGGUGAUCGGCCACAUUGGGACUGAGACACGGCCCAAACUCCUACGGGAGGCAGCAGUGGGGGAUAUUGCACAAUGGAGGAAACUCUGAUGCAGCCGACGCCGCGUGAGUGAAGAAGUAUUUCGGUAUGUAAAGCUCUAUCAGCAGGGAAGAUAAUGACAGUACCUGACCAAGAAGCCCCGGCUAACUACGUGCCAGCCGCCGC
rnacentral:rRNA from 1 species